GCCAUUUUGGCGUCGUUAGACGGCAUUGUUCGUGAUCCGUCUCGUUGUGGUCGUUCUUUAGUCCGCCAGAAUAAUCUGUGUCGUCAGGCGUGAUUGCAAGUGAUUGUUUUGCGUGACUUUCUUCGUGCUAUGCAUUCGUGGCGUAGUAUCGUAUCGUCGGCUCGCUCUUGCCGUGUCUGGCUGAUCGUUUUGCGUGACUUUCCUUCCGUGCUAUGCAUUCGUGGCGUAGUAUCGUGUCGUCGGCUCACGCUUGCCGUGACUGGCUGAAGCAGUGUCACUCAGUGUUUGGGAAAAGCAGCCUCCGGACGGAGAAGUCCCUGCAGUAAGCUUCGUUUCGUCGUGAACUUGCCUGAGCAAGAUGGCAGCGCAUGACGGAUCCCAGUGGCACCGACAGACGAAGCCUGUGGACGACGCUCCUACGGUCGUUAUAGAUUUCAGGUUGCUUCAAGACUGCACAUUGAAGCUCUACAGCUGCAUUUGACCAGGAAGCCUCCUUGGAAACUUCGUGUCUCGAGGUAGUCAAGACGUGUCCAAGAAUUCGGAAUAGCCACGCUUAAGGUCUGGCCGUGAGUGGUCUCGAAUCAGUGCAACCUGCUGUCCUUUUCGCCAGAAUGCCACCUGACCCUGACAUGGUCUGGGAACACGACACUGCCAAGCUCAUGCACGCAAGCUGUGUCACCUAUUGGGGUCCUGUAUCUCAGAUGACUACAUGAGAAUCCUGUACUACAUGAGAACUACACAUGUUGCAUGUUUUGCGCUGUAUGCCACAUAAAAUAUGUAAUGGAUGUCGCAAGAAGUGCUUGAUGGCUGGCCAUUGAUUCCUAUUCAUAAAAACUGACUGCUGGCUAUGCUAAUGUUUAUGCCAGGUCUAGUAUAUUGCCGCAUUUGACAGUAAUGAACGAUGUUAGCGAAACUAUUGCUUUUCAUAUCUCACUCAUUCUGACAGUAAUGUGUCUCGCUGUAUUUCUGGACGGUGUUUCUGUAUUUCAGUUCUGUACAGAACUCUCCAUACCACCGGUAAAUAUAUAUAUUUAUAUAUAUCAUACCUUAUAUAUAUAAGGUACUUGACACACGACGUACGUUUUAGCAUUAGCAUAGUGCUAAAACGUACGUCGUGUGUCAAAUGCCUUCCUACAGUAUCAGGACCUUCGUGAUCUUUCUGUAGCUCUUAUAUUUAAGGGUCAUUCCAUGCCAAGUGUCCCAGACGUGGUGCUCGCACAUCGCAGCUUUUGCUGAUAAAAUUUGUGCCUUUUUCCUGUACCACAUGGAGUAUUGUGGCAAAACAUUCUUGCUCGAAAAAAUUUUUGACGGUCCUGGCACCCCCUCGAAUUUCGCUUCUAUUUAUUAAACUGUACCUAAUAGAAAAAUGUGUAUAAAAUCUACUUUUGUGUGUUGAGCUUCUAAACUGCGCUUGCGCUGUCGCAGAGGUUCUGUUUAGUUGUCCCAUUCAUUAUUUCCGAAUUUUUGUGUUUCACUACCAGCUACGUAGCUUCAAAAACUACAAAAAUCUUCAAAGUUCGUGAAUUUUUCUUGAGCUAUCUGGAACUCACCCUAACCAAUAUUAAUAAUAGCCUGAUUUCCAGGAAAGUGUAUUUUAGUACAGAAAUGUUUAGGGGUAAAAUAGACUUCAGAUCUUUCCGAAAAAAAAUUGUGAAAUUAGAGAAAAUGUACGAUUUGUUGCAUGUUUGACCAUAUUUUUCAUACUGAUGCGGUCAAAGUAAAAAUCCUCGUCAUGCGGCGUUUGAUAAAAGACUUCAUCGUUAAGUAAUGAAAAAAGUCUUAUCAAAUCAUUUUUUUCUUUUAAGGAAGAAAAUAAUUUUUGAAUUUGGCCCUCCGAACGCGCAGUGCAUUUCAUUUUGUUGCCACUUCGCCGCAAAGCACGUGGUAGCCCUUGCAGCUGACACUCGUCACAGGCAACGGCCAGAUGCGAGAUGUAUGUCAGUGGCUCGUGAGUGGUCGAAAGUCUUGUCACGUUGAUGUCAGGGCGACGAGUAAUGAAUUCGCGUUACAAUGUGAGCUUGCUUGGCGGGCCCAAUGGGAAGUAUGGACGCCCGAGAGCAGCCUAUGG